rnacentral:rRNA from 1 species
UACGUAGGGUGCAAGCGUUGUCCGGAAUUAUUGGGCGUAAAGAGCUCGUAGGCGGUUUGUUGCGUCGGCUGUGAAAUCCCGAGGCUCAACCUCGGGUCUGCAGUCGAUACGAGCAAACUAGAGUGUUGCAGGGGAGAUCGGAAUUCCUGGUGUAGCGGUGAAAUGCGCAGAUAUCAGGAGGAACACCGGUGGCGAAGGCGGAUCUCUGGGCCUUGCCUGACGCUGAGGAGCGAAAGCAUGGGGAGCGAACAGG